rnacentral:lncRNA from 1 species
CUAUCAUCUAUCUAUAUCUAUAUAUACCAAAGGCUUUUUGAUGGUGAGAAUCCUGAUGAUGCUGCAUCGGCAAUAAAUGACUAGCAAAUCAAUAGAAAUGGUCGGUCACAGAAGUGUUUCCUUCUUCAAUUAUUUCAUCAAGAUUCGGGAGGGUUAAAUUCACUGCUUUGCAGUUCUUUGUUGGAUUCUGUCAGGUGGGAUUUUUGGUAUUCUCUAGGACUAAAAUACUGUUUUAUUUUUUCUUUAUUUUGCUUUGUUUUCUGUCAGCUCUAUCAAGAACCGACACAACUGACUACACUCUGCUGAUGACAUACGGAUUGAGUACUGCAUAGAUCUGUGAUUAUUCAUCUGUGCCGAUCCAAAAAGGUCUCUAUAAUAGAGAUGGGGUGUAAAUAUAAUCAGGGGAAAAGAACUUGGGAAAGAGAAAAAUUACCAUAAAGGGGUAAUUGUUGUAUUCAUUUUUGCUUAUUUUUUUUAACAUUUAGCAUUUAAUACCUUGUUUUUCACUGUUUUCAGCAAAUAAUGGAUAUGCAAAUUGAAUGGUCAGCUUCAGACAAGAAUUUGAAGCGACAGCAGUCAAGAAAAAGAGGUAAGAAAAGAUUGUUUAUAAGUGUUCUAUUUGCUCAUAGAAUAUAAUCAAUGUAUUAAUUAACUCAAUACUAUAUAGAUGUUUGGUUUUGUGUUUCUGUCUUUUUAUAGAGGAAAUAUAAAAUAAAAUUGAUUAUUUUAUGGAGAUUCUCAAUUAUAAGUGGAUUUUUUCUGUUCAAGGGAUAGUUUUCUUUGAAAGUUGCAACUUCUCUACGAACUUCUGAGUGCAAAUCAUGAUAGAAUUAAACCUGAUAGUAACGUAACUCAAUGAUUAGGUUCAUUGCUUUCAACAUUUGAUCACAAUCAGUCUUACUGGUAAUAUCUAUUGUUGAGAAACAUCUGAGCAACUUAGCCUAAUUGACAUGUAUCCUCAAAGUAUCUUUGCUUUCCCUCGUGGGUUUAGUACACCCAGGGAAAACUGCUCCAAAAGAAAGAAAAAUGUGCGUGCUGCACUCAAGAAUGACUGCUAGUGGUAUACUGGAGGAAGGUGGGGAUGACGUCAAAUCCACAUCCCUAUGUCAUUGAUUACGUUGAUGAUUCAAAUAAUGAUAUUAUAGAGAGAUCUUUUGAUGCGCGGGUGCAUCUUGGAGCAAUUUUUUUAUUUUUGUACGUGUAUGAAAAAAGCUAGUCAAUAUUCACAGUUUAAAGUGUCUAUAUGAGCCAAUGACAUAAAUUAACUUGGCCUAAUGCAUUAGGACUAAUAGUCACAGCAAUUAAAAGGAUUCUAACCCAAGUAACUUCAAAAGUUCACUUAAUUUGGAGGAGUUGAACGACCUUGUCUGGAUUUGAUGAUCACCAUUUUAUGUGAUGGCCAGCGAUAAUCAUGAAAUGAGACACAAUUGAAAUUAACAUUUGCUAAAUCAGCAAUUUAAUGCUUCUGAUUUCCAUGAACCGAAAUGAUUUAGAAGGAUUUUGUAACUAAACCAAAAUUUAUCAUGAACAAAGCUCAAUUUGUUUUUGUUGUUGUUGUUGUUGUGCAUUUGAUCAUACAAGUCCUUACUAUUUACCAGUACUUCUCUAUCUUCAACUUUUGUUGUUGUCCAUCCAAAUUCUAUCCUGCUUAUAGAUUGUUCAUCCAAACUCAGAAUCUCAAAGUUAGUCUCAAGAAUAUUACACUUGGGGCUACAUUUGCAACAAUAAUAUUUGAUCCAUUAUAGUCUUGUACAACCUCAAAAUUUUAUGUAUUUUGCUUUCCAAAAUCUCUUCUAUACUGUCAGAAGCAGUGGUUUUUAAUUAAAUAUAGAACUUGAUAUUUAUACCCUGUUUGAGCCCCAUUAUUUUCUCAUUAAAAUUAAGUGACUUAUAGUAUUUAUCAUGAACAAAGCUCAAUUUUUUUUUCCAGUUUAUUGAUAUUUAUACCCUAUUUGAGCCCCAUUAUUUUCUCAUUAAAAUGAAAAAUAUGAUCGUUAUCCAUCACAUCAAACCACCAUAUUUGACUUUUUAUUUCUUGUGUGGGAUCUAUAACGACUAUAUUUUUUAUUCUUAUUUUUACAAUAAUGUUGUUCAAACGGGGCUUAAUAUUGAGAAACACUCAUUUGCCUGAGGUUGCUUCAGAUUGCAUUAAUACAAGGAUAUGCUGUGACUUAUAGUAUUUUUAAUACGCUUUAACUUUUUGACUCGUAAAUUUUUCCAAAUCUCUCUUCCUUGAUCAUAUAUUAUCAUGUGUAAUUCAAUGUACCAGGUAUGUCUUGAAAAAAUUGAUCGAGUAAAAGAUUUUCUUCAAUAUAGUUAUGACCAUUCUUUGCUGCGCUUGAUGUCUCAAAAUCUAUGAUGAGGACGAUCAGCUAGCUAAUAAGAAUACUAAUUCAUAUCCGAUUAAAAUGUUGAAAAAUUCCUAUUUAUUUUCAUGUGCAAAAAGACACUGCAUGCAACUGAUAAUAAUUAUAUUUUUAAGAUCCUAUAUUGAUCUUCAUUAAUUAUUGAAAUUUCGUUGGUAUAUUAUUCAAUUUUUCAUAUUUUCCUCUUGUUCACAGUCAUGAAUUUGGACGUGCAGAACUUUGUGAACGAAGAGAAGAGUACUGGUCUUUAAUAUGACAGUGACUACAUUCAGAGUUUUGGAAGCUUAUGAACUGCGAAGAUCUGAUAUCAUAUCCCUUCAUUCUUCAUAUCUCAGCUGUCUGUAAAAUUAUACUAAGUAAACAACUCAUAAACAAAGUUUCAUUUCUGUCGUGUAUGCUCCAUUAAUUCGAACUCACAUAAUUAUACAUUUCAUCUACUCUCUUAACUCCG